UACGGAGGGGGCGAGCGUUAUUCGGAAUUAUUGGGCGUAAAGGGCGCGUAGGCGGCGUGACAAGUCACUUGUGAAAUCUCUGGGCUUAACCCAGAACGGCCAAGUGAAACUGUUGUGCUAGAGUGCAGAAGGGGCAAUCGGAAUUCUCGGUGUAGCGGUGAAAUGCGUAGAUAUCGAGAGGAACACCAGAGGUGAAGACGGGUUGCUGGGCUGACACUGACGCUGAGGCGCGAAAGCCAGGGGAGCAAACGGG
rnacentral:rRNA from 1 species